rnacentral:rRNA from 1 species
ACAGGAAACAGCUUGCUGUUUCGCUGACGAGUGGCGGACGGGUGAGUAAUGUCUGGGAAACUGCCUGAUGGAGGGGGAUACUACUGGAAACGGUAGCUAAUACCGCAUAACGUCGCAAGACCAAAGAGGGGGACCCUCGGGCCUCUUGCCAUCGGAUGUGCCCAGAUGGGAUUAGCUUGUUGGUGGGGUAACGGCUCACCAAGGCGACGAUCCCUAGCUGGUCUGAGAGGAUGACCAGCCACACUGGAACUGAGACACGGUCCAGACUCCUACGGGAGGCAGCAGUGGGGAAUAUUGCACAAUGGGCGCAAGCCUGAUGCAGCCAUGCCGCGUGUAUGAAGAAGGCCUUCGGGUUGUAAAGUACUUUCAGCGGGGAGGAAGGGAGUAAAGUUAAUACCUUUGCUCAUUGACGUUACCCGCAGAAGAAGCACCGGCUAACUCCGUGCCAGCAGCCGCGGUAAUACGGAGGGUGCAAGCGUUAAUCGGAAUUACUGGGCGUAAAGCGCACGCAGGCGGUUUGUUAAGUCAGAUGUGAAAUCCCCGGGCUCAACCUGGGAACUGCAUCUGAUACUGGCAAGCUUGAGUCUCGUAGAGGGGGGUAGAAUUCCAGGUGUAGCGGUGAAAUGCGUAGAGAUCUGGAGGAAUACCGGUGGCGAAGGCGG